GUAUUAAUUUUUAUCUUUUAUUUUUUAAAUAUUAGAUAAAAGAUAUGGAGUUUCCCUCUUAAAAAAGGGGGUACUCUAAAAUAGAUUGCCUCUGUUUUUGAUUGACUCGACGAAGUUUUUCAAUCCUGCAGAAAAGUAUUUGAAUGGAACUGUGGUUUCUCAAUAUGCUGAAUAUGUUAGGCGAAAGAUGGAGUUUCUUUCAAGCAGAUGUCCAUACCUAAUAAGUUAAAAAUCUUUUUUAACUUGAA
rnacentral:misc_RNA from 1 species